CAGUCGCCACGGGAAUACGAAGGGUGCAAGCGUUAAUCGGAAUUACUGGGCGUAAAGCGUGCGUAGGUGGUGGUUUAAGUCCGUUGUGAAAGCCCUGGGCUCAACCUGGGAAUUGCAGUGGAUACUGGGUCACUAGAGUGUGGUAGAGGAUAGUGGAAUUUCCGGUGUAGCAGUGAAAUGCGUAGAGAUCGGAAGGAACAUCUGUGGCGAAGGCGACUAUCUGGGCCAACACUGACACUGAGGCACGAAAGCGUGGGGAGCAAACAGGAUUAGAUACCCCUGUAGUCCCUGUCUCUUAUAC
rnacentral:rRNA from 1 species